rnacentral:rRNA from 1 species
UACGUAGGUGACCAGCGUUGUCCGGAUUUAUUGGGCGUAAAGCGCUCGCAGGUGGUUCGUUGCGUCGUGCGUGAAAGACCCCGGCUCAACUGGGGAGUGUCGUGCGAUACGGGCGAACUGGAGGCCAGUAGGGGGAUGCGGAAUUCCGGGUGUAGUGGUGGAAUGCGUAGAGAUCCGGAGGAACACCAGCGGCGAAGGCGGCAUCCUGGACUGGUCCUGACACUCAGGAGCGAAAGCGUGGGGAGCGAUCCGG